rnacentral:rRNA from 1 species
UGGGGAAUAUUGGACAAUGGGGGCAACCCUGAUCCAGCCAUGCCGCGUGAGUGAUGAAGGCCUUCGGGUUGUAAAGCUCUUUUGGCGGGGACGAUGAUGACGGUACCCGCAGAAUAAGCCCCGGCUAACUUCGUGCCAGCAGCCGCGGUAAGACGAAGGGGGCUAGCGUUGUUCGGAAUUACUGGGCGUAAAGCGAGUGUAGGUGGUUGUCGUAGUCAGGCGUGAAAGCCUUGAGCUCAACUCAAGAAAUGCGCUUGAUACUGGGCAGCUAGAGGACCGGAGAGGAUAGUGGAAUUCCCAGUGUAGUGGUGAAAUACGUAGAGAUUGGGAAGAACACCAGUGGCGAAGGCGGCUAUCUGGACGGUUUCUGACACUAAGACUCGAAAGCGUGGGGAGCAAACA